rnacentral:lncRNA from 1 species
GCACAAGAAACUGAAUUGAAAUCUUGAAGUAUAUUCUCCUUGUUAUCCUGUAAACAGUCUUUAUCAGAGUAUUUAAUGAUUUUAUUUUAGCAGGUUUUAGGUGACAGCAGAAAAUAACACCAUCAUCAACUUUGCUGCAUGUUGAUAGUUUUCACAGUUUUAGGAAAGGAAUACCAUGAUUUAUCCACUUGUCUAUGCUUACAUACAUUAUCUGUAGAUGAGGUAGAUAAUUUACAUUACUGCUGAUAGCUAUCAUUUCUGUUAGGUAGUUUGCUGAUCUUAUGUAAUUUCUUAAGAGUAUUGGUUUUACCUAGGCUUCAGCUUUAUAAGCUCAUUUACAUGUUUUAAAACUUCAAACCAAGACUUCUGCUUUUAAGAUAACAGAAUAAAGACAUUUGUGCCCUCUUCUAUCUGAAAUUCCACUGAAAUAACAGAAAAUGAGAGAUAGAGAUGUAAUUACAUUUUCCCUGAGACUAGAAGACUUGUAACCCCAAAUCUAAAUAUUUGGGAAAUGACUGCCAAGUGUAAGCAGGAAUAUGUUAAAGAGGAUCCUUGUAGAAAGCAGUCUUAGAGCUGGAGGAACACAGAGGGAAAGGUUGUUUACAGUGGGAUCUGGAUACUUAGGAAAGCUCUGGGAACCUCCUCGUACUGCUUGGCAAAAUGAACCAGCAAGCAAGAAAAAAAAAAAAAAAAUGAGAUGGCACACAAAUACACUGUCUUUGCAGAUGACACUCUUGCUGAGGCAAAAGAGAGAUUGUGAGUGGCCUUUUGCUACCUGUUUCUGACACUUGGAGAUAGUAAUAUGUAAACACCUUUCUCUCGCUUAUUCUCACACACUCUCUCUUUUUUCACAUUCACUUAUACAAAACAUUUUGUCAGAAAGAGCUUUACUGAAUGCCAGAGAGUACCUCUAGUCUAGAACACAGUUGUUUCUUCCUUUCACAGUACUCCUGCAAAUAACUAAUCCG